AAAGCUGGCAAUACAAAGCAGGCAGACACUGGGAGAGAAUGCACUAAACAAGCUGGAAAAAUGGUGUUAGAGAGAAAACAAAGGAUGGAAAAAAAAUGUAAGUCACAUGCAGUGUAUCUUUAUAUGACUUUAUUAUAUAAUUCAAAUAGUAAACCUGCCUAUACUUUAUAUAAUUAAUAACAAACUGCACCCCACUAUACUAUAAUAACAAACUGCACCCCACUAUACUAUAAUAACAAACUGCACCCCACUAUACUGUAAUACCAUACUGCACCCCCACUAUACUAUAAUACCAUACUGCACCCCCACUAUACUAUAAUACCAUACUGCACCCCACUACACUAUACCAACAUACUGCACCCCACUAUACAAUAAUACCAUACUGCACCCCCACUAUACUAUAAUAACAAACUGCACCCCACUAUACUAUAAUACCAUACUGCACCCCACUAUACUAUAAUACAAUACUGCACCCCACUAUACUAUAAUACCAUAAUGCACCCCCACUAUACUAUACCAACAUACUGCACCCCACUAUACUAUACCAACAUACUGCACCCCACUACACUAUAAUACCAUACUGCACCCCACUAUACUAUAAUACCAUACUGCACCCCCACUAUACUAUAAUAACAAACUGCACCCCCACUAUACUAUAAUACCAUACUGCACCCCACUAUACUAUAACAACAUACUGCACCCUACUACACUAUAAUAACAAACUGCACCCCACUAUACUAUAAUACCAUACUGCACCCCCACUAUACUAUAAUAACAUACUGCACCCCCACUAUACUAUAAUAACAAACUGCACCCCACUAUACUAUAAUAACAUACUGCACCCCCACUAUACUAUAAUAACAUACUGCACCCCCACUAUACUCUAAUAACAAACUGCACCCCCACUAUACUAUAAUAACAAACUGCACCCCACUAUACUAUAAUACCAUACUGCACCCCCACUAUACUAUAAUAACAAACUGCACCCCACUAUACUAUAAUAACAAACUGCACCCCACUAUACUAUAAUACCAUUCUGCACCCCACUAUACUAUAAUACCAUACUGCACCCCCACUAUACUAUAAUAACAAACUGCACCCCACUAUAUUAUAAUAACAAACUGCACCCCACUAUACUAUAAUAACAAACUGCACCCCACUAUACUAUAAUACUAUUUCAGCACCCCACUAUACUAUAAUGUACCAUUCUGCACCCCACUAUACUACAUAUAUAAUACCAUACUGCACAAAUCUACUAUACUAUAAUAACAAACUGCACCCUACCAUAUUAUAAUAACAAACUGCACCCUCUACUAUACUAUAUAUAAUAACAAACUGCACCCCUACUAUAUUGUUAAUACCAUACUGCACCCCUACUAUACUAUAUAAACAACAAACUGCACCCUACUCAUACUCAUAUACCAAAUAACAUACUGCACCCCACUAUACUAUAAUACCAUACUGCACCUCCUUACUCAUACUAUAAUACCAUACUGCACCCCAUUAUACACAAUACCAUACUGCACCCCACUAUACUAUAAUAAUACCAUACUGCACCCCACUAUACUACUAUAAUACCAUACUGCACCCCACCACCAUACCAACAUACUGCACCCCCACUAUAUACUAUAAUAACAUACUGCACCCCACUAUACUAUAAUACCAUUCUGCACCCCACUAUACUAUAAUACCAUACUGCACCCCCACUAUACUAUAAUAACAUACUGCACCCCAUUAAACUAUAAUAACAAACUGCACCCCACUAUACUAUAAUACCAUACUGCACCCCCAUUAUACUAUAAUAACAAACUGCACCCCACUAUACUAUAAUACCAUACUGCACCCCACUAUACUAUACCAACAUACUGCACCCCGCUAUACUAUAAUACCAUACUGCACCCCACUAUACUAUAAUACCAUACUGCACCCCCACUAUACUAUAAUAACAAACUGCACCCCACUAUACUAUAAUACCAUUCUGCACCCCACUAUACUAUAAUACCAUACUGCACAACCACUAUACUAUAAUAACAAACUGCACCCCACUAUAUUAUAAUAACAAACUGCACCCCACUAUACUAUAAUAACAAACUGCACCCCACUAUACUAUAAUACCAUACUGCACCCCACUCAUACUAUAAAACAAACUGCAACCCCACUACACUAUACCAACAUACUGCACCCCCACUAUACUAUAAUA
rnacentral:lncRNA from 1 species